GGAUUGCGGCUCAGUGGCAGAGCGCUUGCCUCGCAUGUAUGAGGCACUGGGUUCAAUCCUCAGCACCA
rnacentral:tRNA from 1 species